rnacentral:rRNA from 1 species
UACGUAGGUGGCAAGCGUUGUCCGGAAUUAUUGGGCGUAAAGGGCGCGCAGGCGGUCCUUUAAGUCUGAUGUGAAAGCCCACGGCUCAACCGUGGAAGGUCAUUGGAAACUGGGGGACUUGAGUACAGAAGAGGAAAGCGGAAUUCCACGUGUAGCGGUGAAAUGCGUAGAGAUGUGGAGGAACACCAGUGGCGAAGGCGGCUUUCUGGUCUGUAACUGACGCUGAGGCGCGAAAGCGUGGGGAGCAAACAGG